GCCAUUUGUAAAGGCAUUAAUGCCAAUCUGUACAGUGGUUUAGGGAUCAGCACUUGCUAUCCAUAAACAAAAAAUGAGAGCAGAGAUGCCAUUGUUGCUAAUACAUGACAUUUCUAUUCUAAUCCUAUAAGAAUAUAAUGUACAUGUAUGUGCAAACACUAUUCCUUGCUCCCCCUUUAAGAUAAAGAGGACGAAACAAACUAUCUUCUGGUGUAAUGGCAAAGAAACUGUACCAUGCAGAUUAUUUGAGGUUGGCGUAUAUUGCAAUUUCAAAUUCAGUCUGUUUCAUAUCUGUAACUCUGAUAGAACUACUGCAUAACACCUGAAGUUACUCUGUUCAAAUGAUGCAGAUGGAAAGGAGCCUGUCUCCUCUAAACGAAACAUUUGCUGAAGUCAUGGCUGAAUUUUCUGCAUGUCAGAAUAUUUGAAGGUGCAAAUCAGAGAUCAACAUUGACAAACAGCAACUGUCAAUUGCAUGUCUCUGCUCAUUGAAUGUAGAUCUAUCCUGUUGCAGACAACUUAGAUUUCACAUUUCGAGGAGCACUAGUUUUGCGAAGUUGAGGAUUUUCUAUAGAGUACACAAGAAGGAUUCCAUCUUUGGUCCCAGCUAAAAAGCAUUCUUCUGGGGUUACUGUUAGACAUGUUAUUACCUUUCCAACUCCAUUAUACUUUUUGACAAUAUCAAGCGUAUUCAUAGAGCGUACAGUUAUCUGUCCCUGAUCACCAGCACAAACCAGAAACUCACCACAACCACUGAGUUCAACACAGUUCAGGCGACCAUUAGAUUCAGAAGUAGCAAGAUGUUUUCCAUUAAUAGAAUAUAAAUGCAGACUAAGAUCAUCAUCAGCAUAAAAUACUAUCCGUCCGUGCCGAGAGGCCACAAGCUUUGACAAUGCACUGCCAGAAGGAUGACGUAAAGAUCUUAUGUAUCUUCCUUCCCUAAGGGUAUGGAAAACACAAGUUCCAUCUUUUGAACCACUGAUAACUAUAUCAAGCUCCGCACUAACAUAUAAGCAUGUUAUUAUAUCAUCAUGCCCGCUGAGAAUAUGGAAAGGAGUUUCAGCAAUGACAUACUCUUUACGAGGUAGUUCAGUCUGAGUGUUUCGAACUCUCUUUUCAGUGCCUCGGACACGGAGAACUUCCCACACCAUGACUGUAGUAUCAUAACUUCCAGUUGCAAGUAUGCUACCAUCAGCUGUCACUGCCACACAGCUGACCACAUCUUUAUGCUGUCGAAUACUCUG
rnacentral:misc_RNA from 1 species